AGCAACUUGAAGAGACCACAUAGUGAGCAGAGCGUGGAACAGCAAGGAUUCCAACCCCAGUAGCCCAGCUUUAUAUCUGGAGGAAGCAAGUCUUAGAUUGGGACUGUCAGGCCAGGAAGAAAAGUCAGAGCAUGAACAAAGGCUCUGACGGAGUGAGGACCGUUUUAUAUAUGUUGAGGUAAACCAGGUGGAUUUCCGUUUUGGAGGAAAUUGGGAAGUCAGGCUUGGGUAGAGAGUGGUAUGUUUGGAGGGCGUGAAAUAUUUUGUGCAUCUGUAUUUUGUGCAGGUGUAUUCCACCUGUGGUGGAAUCUUGUGGCUCAGAAAGAACGAACCUCCCUCAGGUAAUGCUAUUAAGAAAUGCCAAAGAGAAUUAGAACCAGAGUCUACCUAACCCCCUUCUCAGAAGAAAUUGUUCAGGUUUUAGCACUGAAAGUCUUACAUCUUGGAAAACUGCACCGUCCCCAGUUUUAAUGCUAAAAGUCCCUCAUCCUGGGAAAUCCCUUAGUUGUGGUUUUAGCACUGACAGUCCUGCUUCCUAGGAAACUCCUUACUUCUGGUUUUAGCCCUGAACGUCCCCAAACCCCUUAGUCCUUAACAAAUCUGGAUUUGAUCCACCUACGCUUCUAUUGGAACAGAUCCUAGAUCAGGAGCACAGGCUGGGUGGCCAUAGCAUGGACCCCCAAAAAGCCACUGUCAUGAAGAAAUAUUCUGUGAAGAAAAUCUUUGCAGGGCAUUUGAACUCCCAAAGCCACUGAGGAGAAGGUAAGGGAGUACUUUGGUGAGUUUGGGGAGGUGAGUUUCUCCCCAGGAUAUGGUUUAUUGUUCCCCAGCAGCCACCAGUGGAUGCUUUUUUCUUUCUUCCUUCAUCAGUGGAGCUGCUUUCUCCUCCUUUCUUGCCUUUGGAGGGCCGUCUUUUCUGAGUUCCCUUUAGGGCCUGAGCCAGGGAAAGGCAUUGGCCCUGAGCUUUGCCUGUGUUUCCAGAUGGAGGCCAUUGACCUUUCAGUGGAUCUGAAGUCUAACAAAAGACAAUGUCUUAUUUUCAUCACACCCCAAAGAAGAGGAAUCUGUGAGAAAUAUUGUGGAGAAAUUUAACACUAUCAGUGGAAGCAAGGUCAGAUGAGAAUGAUUAUAAUAUCAAUGCAACCAUGAUCCCAUCACUGAAGAAGGCGGCUAAACAACUAUGUAAUUUUGAUGAUGGAUGGAAGGACACAUACUAUUGAACUAGGAAGGUAAAUAACCAAACAGAGCAUACUGCAUCAUAUGCAGAAAAAAAUUUGAGAUUGGACAUGGUGGAGAAGGGGAUGUGCAAGCACAUGUGGAGAGCAAAUCUCACAAGUAGGAUGGGAUGGGUGAAUGUUUCUAAACCAAUGGAAAAUACUUUUGUUUCCCAAAAGACACCAAUGUUCAGUCAAAAAUAGCAACUGCUGAAUUAGCAUGGGCAUACCAGGCAAACAAGCAUGAAUUGUCAUAGCGUUCCUUUGAUUGCUCUAUGAAAUUGAGUAAAGUUUCGUUUCCUGAUUUAAGAAUUGCAGCUAAAAUACCCUCUGCACAAAGAAGAGGGGAAAUUUUGAUAACAAAUGUGUUGGUCCCUUACAGUGUAAAGCGAAUUUCUGUCAUACCUCACCAACAAUUCUGGUUUCUAUAGUACAUCAGUUUUAAGUAAUAUGCUGAAUCAUGGCAGCAAAAAUAUGUUUCCUCCAGCUGUUAGGUACUUUGACUUGAAAACAGAAGUUUCAAAUCAUCUUCUUCAUUUCUAUGAGGAUUUUAAUGAAACUGCUGAAAUCAUAAAAUAUUGUUGAUAUUUGUCUAAAUACAAACUAGACGUAGCUCAUCUAUCUGCAUAUUUGUCAGACAGUACAGAUGUAAAUUUUGGCAAAUUCUAUUCAGUCUAUAAACUUCUUACCAAAGAAAAUGAAAAGAUCUUAUUCAUUCAAUGCCUUGUACAUCUUAUAUACAGCACUGCUAAAAAGGGAUGUGAGUUGCUUAAAUGUGAUAUUGAGACUUUCAUAAUGAAAGCUUUUGGUUACUUUUCAAUUUCCUCAAAAAGUGCUGAAGCACUUAAGGAGAUUUUUGACUUCACAGAAAUGGAGGGUGAUAACCUCUUUAGAUGUGUGCCUACAAGAUGGCUGUCAUUGCAGCGAGCCAUAGAAAAGAUGCUAAAAUGUUGGCCUGCCAUAAGACCAUAUUUUCAAAGGACAAGAAUAAUGUCCUUUGACAUUGUUUGGGAUCUGAAAGAAGAAAAAAAUCCAGAAUCUGAAGUGGGCCUUAAAAAAAUCAGUAAGUCCCUUGUGACUUUGAUUUUUAUGAAUCUGUCUCUCAAAAGCCAGGGUGCCCCUGGAAGAACUGAGACAAACUGAGUUUCUGAACAUUUGAAAAUGAGGAGCAGGCUCAAGAUCCACAGGGUGUAAUGUAACCAUCCCGUGAGGCCCUGCCUUAGCAGCCAGUCAGUGCGGCUCUUCGCCUUCUUUCCCUUUCUCGGAUUCCACCUAUGUACAACUUAUGAAAACUUGCAUUACUAUAGACUGGGAGUUUUUAAAUUGGAAUCUGUGAAUCUAAAGGGACCAGAGGAUAGAAAUCAGGAAAUCUGAAAACUUCAAUGGAGAAAAGUUUUCAUUUCUUUCCGUCAGGAAAAUAGGCAACAAACCACAGCAGUAUUAGUACCUGUGUCUCUGUCGUCACUAGGAAUCACAGAUAUCCAUGUUACAGAUAUCUUAAAAUAUUUAUGUACAGCACCACUUUGAAAUUAUGGUAAUAAUUAGAUCCACCCCCUAGGUCUUGUAAUCUUUAAUAUGUUAAUAAAGAAACACAUCUAUUAUAUGACAGAUUUAAA